rnacentral:rRNA from 1 species
UACGUAGGGUGCAAGCGUUGUCCGGAUUUAUUGGGUUUAAAGGGUGCGUAGGUGGCUCUUUAAGUCCUGGGUGAAAGCCCACAGCUCAACUGUGGAACUGCAUGUGAUACUGACUAGCUUGAGUGCGGUUGAGGCAGGUGGAAUUGGUAGUGUAGCGGUGAAAUGCAUAGAUACCGCCAGGAACACCGGUGGCGAAGGCAGGUUGCUAAGCCGUAACUGACACUGAGGCACGAAAGCGUGGGGAUCAAACAGG